rnacentral:rRNA from 1 species
GACGAACGCUGGCGGCGUGGAUUAGGCAUGCAAGUCGGACGGUAGGGCUUUAUCGUAAGAUAGAGUUUGAGAGUGGCGAACGGGUGAGUAACACGUAGGAAUCUACCCUUAAGACGGGGACAACCCAGGGAAACUUGGGCUAAUACCGGAUGAGAGUGCGAGAGAUUGCAUUUAAAAGGAUGGCGAAAGUUGUCGCUUAGGGAUGAGCCUGCGGUCUAUUAGUUAGUUGGUGAGGUAAGAGCUCACCAAGGCGAUGAUAGAUAGGCGGCCUUAACGGGUGGUCGCCCACACUGGGAUUGAGAUACGGCCCAGACUCCUACGGGGAGGCAGCAGUCGAGAAUAGUCUACAAUGGCCGGAAGGCUGAUAGUGCGACGCCGCGUGAACGGGGAGCCCUUCGGGUGUAAAGUUCUUUUACUAUACGAGCAGUGCUAUAUAUAUGGAUAGUAUAUAUAGUAGGGAAUAGGUAGUAUUAAGGAAUUAAGCCAACGGCUAAACUCCGUGCCAGCAAGCC